rnacentral:lncRNA from 1 species
GGUCUUAGAACAAGGUCUAGAGGGUGUAAGGAUGGUUGCUUGGACCUCUAGAACAUUCCUAGACUUGACUUCCUGUGCCCGGAAAGCAGCUUGUUGUUAUUUAUAGGGAGCUAACACCACUGGAGAAGGCCUCCCUACAAAACCAGAAGCUGAGGGCCACAUAUGAGGCCCGGAUGGCCCGUCUGGACCCCAGCCAGGCCAUGCAGAAGACAUCACUGACUCUGUCUCUACAGCGGCAGAUGAUGGAGAAUCUGGUGAUCGCCAAAGCAAGAGAAGAGACACUGCAGCGGAAGAUGGAGCAGCGCCGCCUGCGACUUCAGGAGGCUGCCAACAGCUUGCCUUCCUCCUCAGGAGGUUCUGCAGUCAAGUUGCUCUGACCCCAGAGGAGCGGGAGCAGCGAG